rnacentral:snRNA from 1 species
GUGCUCACUUCAGCAGCACAUAUACUAAAAUUGGAAUGAUACAGAGAAGAUUAGCAUGGCUCCUGUGCAAGGAUGACAUGCAAAUUCGUGAAGCAUUCCAUAUUUUU